AAUGAACGUUGGCGGCGUGGAUUAGGCAUGCAAGUCGUGCGAUAACCCCGCAAGGGGGGAAAGCGGCGAAAGGGAGAGUAACGCGUGGGUACCUGCCCCUUGGUCCGGAAUAGCUGCGGGAAACUGCAGGUAAUGCCGGAUAAUAUCCUCGGAUCAAAGGUGUGAUUCCGCCGAGGGAGGGGCCCGCGUUCUAUUAGCUAGUUGGUAGGGUAAUGGCCUACCAAGGCGACGAUGGAUACCGGGUGUGAGAGCAUGACCCGGCUCACUGGGACUGAGACACUGCCCAGACGCCUACGGGUGGCUGCAGUCGAGAAUCUUCGGGAAUGGGCGCAAGCGUGACCGAGCGACGCCGCGUGCGGGAUGAAGGCCUUCGGGUUGUAAACCGCUGUCGUAGAGGAGGAAAUGCCAUGGGGUUCUCUCCAUGGUUUGACCUAUUCUAGGAGGAAGGACGGGCUAAGUUCGUGCCAGCCGCCGCGGUAA
rnacentral:rRNA from 1 species